AUCAACUUAAAAGUCACAUUUAUAUGUGAAGACUGUUUAUCUAGUGUUAUAUAGAACAUGCAAGUUAAAUAUAACUGAAAGCUUUGAAAACCCUGAAAAAUAUCUGUAUAACUUCUCUUGUACGUUGACAGUCCCUUGUGGAUAGACAACUUGGCCCCAAUCCUGCAACCACUUGUACAACUUAGGUAACGUUAUGCAUGAGUGUAGGUAGUGUGUUAAGAGUUAGUUGAGAGAGUGUUUACAGCAGGGGUGGUCAACCUGUGGCUGCCCAGCUACAUGCGGCUCUUUAUAAGUUUAAUAUGUCUAGGCACGGACUCUAGGGCCACCUUUUGGUUUACAGGAUCAAGGCUGUAAGUCAGUUUCUUCUGUUGCUUGUGUGAGACUCACAUAGUUACAGCCCUGACAAACCAUUUUUACAGAAACAGGAAAAGCUGAGGUAAACCCCCAGAAACUGGCCCCGGGCCUCACCCCCGCCUAGUGCAUGAACCUAGUCCAACUUCUUUUAAACUAACUGGAUUUCAAGUUGCUUUCCAGCUGGGGAUUUCAUUUCCUCCUCUCGCCCCAACGGCAACGUUUGGCUGCCGCUGCUUGUCCUCUGUCCUUAUCCCGUUUCCUCAGGGGCAGGGCGGCCGGUGCCCCUACACGGGACAGAUGGGGGUGAGCAGCUGCAAAGAUCUGAACCCAACUCGGGACCGAGCCCUUCAGGGGUGGGCGGAGAAGCGGCUGACGUGACGGGAAGGCCCCGUACAGCUUUAAAUGGGCGCCCAGGGCCGGCACUGCCGGCGAGGAUCUCCCGCCACAUUUGUACCCGAGAUAUAUUUUCACAAUAUGUGCUCAAGAGAUAUUUGAACAGAGGAAGGCAUCCAUUGGUGCAGGAAAACAAAAACCUGGGAUGAGAACAUGAAGAAUGACCCACCCUUCAAUCCACAACUUUACACUCCCCUGUAGUGGUAGCCCACACUGCUCCAGGUCUUUGUGAUAUGCAGUUGUAUAUCUAGAAGGAAACUAACAAGUUGGACAGAAAGGGACGAGAGAGAGAGAGAGAAUUGUAAUCAUUCUUGUACCCCUGCAAAGGUAGCAUUAAAGAAGAAGGAACAAAAGUGGUGGUAGUUAUGCAGACACUUGUCUCAAAGGUCAGAAUGGCUUUUUGGAGCUGAACCAACUGUGUGUGUGUAUAAUUAUAUAUGUAUUGUACACUUUAUGAUCAUAUUUUGCAGCCCAGGCUGAAUGGCUAUGUCCUGGGGAAAGAUCUACAGAGGACGAAGGGAAAGCAAUCCUCUCUCUCAGUCUGCUCCACAACUGCUAUUGCAGCCUAGGAUUUAUGUAGCUUCUAUGUGGAUUUAACCCACCCUCAUGUGGAGGGAAUGAUUAGGGGAGCUAGUUAGCUGUGCUUACUCUGGCCGCACUUCUGAGGAAACGUGGAAGAAGCAAAUGCCGAGAUGGGGUCUGUUCUACACGGGAGAUCCACACCCUGUGUAUGAACUCCCAGCAUCCUAUUCGUUCCUUUUCUCCUCAUGCAGUUGAACUACUGUUCUGCUGUGUCCAGGGCCCAUUUUGCCCAUCGAUGGGGAUAAAGGGAAAGUUGAGCCACUUAAAAAUGCGAAGUAUCUACAAUUUACCAACAUAAGCCUAUGUUCUGGAAAACAUAUAGCAAUUCCACUGAUCUCAAUGGAGUUACAAUGGUGUAACACCGAUGUAAUUUAGCAGUGAAUCAGGCUCCUUGUCCAUGUAUUAUAUAAAGAAGUCAGUGGAUUUCCAAGAACUCAGGGGAAGGUUAAAGUGUACAUGUGUGUUUAAAUCUGAGAUGUCAAGCAGCUUGGAAAUGCUCUCUGCAUAAGUAAGUACAUCCUGGAUUACCAUUGUGGCAUAUGUGUAAGGCCACAAUACUUUACAUUAUACACAAGAUGGUGUCUGUGGGUUUUAUGCCUUUAUAUUAGAUCAAAUUCCCCUCUCAGUAACAAUCAGACAGCGAAUAUACAUUUUCCAAAUGUGACUGCAGCCCUAAAGUUCUAUACAAGCAUUUUUGAAACAUCAGUUAAGUAAGGUAAUAAUAAAAUACCUGACAACUCAUUAAGGGGUCUGGAGGAAGUUAUUGCUCAAAUAAAUACAAUGCUUUUUUCCACAUUUGGACAUUUGUCAAAGCACCUGGGGCCAAAUUCCUUGCUGACGUGACUCCAUUGAAGUCUGCGGAGAAUCUGCUCCACAUUUCCUAGCUAGACCAUUGAGUGUAGUAUGGUUGUGUGGAUAUACCUGAGGGAAGAUUUUGGUCCAGUUUUUUUGGACAUCCCCCAUCUCUAGUUUGUUACAACAUGCAGCACAGAUGGCAUGCUACACAUUAACUUACCAUGCUUCUGUUUUGCAGAUUUUUUUCCCCAUGCAUUUCCACUUCUCCUGGGAUUUUUUCCUGCAAAAAGGGAACAUAUGGCCUUCAGUAGCCUAUAAUGACUCUAGUGCACAAAUAUGACUGAUAGCUUUAUGAAAUAUGUAAUGAAAAAAAUUAAAAGAGAAGCCAGUGUUUGUGCAAAGAAGCUAAUUUCUUCCUUUCUCUCCCCAGCUGAUUUAAUGUCAGAAACGAGGGCUUGCAGCUGCGCCUGCCCAGUCAUCAGGCAGCCAAGGCAGAACCAUCUGAGGCAGUCAGGUGUCUUGCUCUUAAGCUCCACAACUGCAGAGGCUUAGCAGCUGCUCACUGCACAUGUCCACAGGUUCUCUGUCACCAAACCCUACUUUUGCCCCCCCCACAGCCUUGUUCUAGCCUAGCCCCUGUCCUGCACUGGGCCUUGUUUCAAUCCUGUCCUGACACCCAGCCCUGCUUUUGCCUUCCCUGACUCCAGGUAAUUCCUGACCUUUAGCUCUGAUUCUUGGUUCUGACUCUAUCUCAACCCUUGGCUCUGGCAUUUGGACACUGACCUCCAGGCCUGACUCUUACUCUUAACAUUAGGCCUGACUGCCUAUGGCCCAGUCUCCUGGCACUUUGCCCUUUGCAGACUUUUAGGGAACUCAUUUUCCCUUUUAGUCUCAUAUCCCUCAAAGGAUCUCUGCUGUAGUGCCCCUUCCUGUGAUACCGAAGCCUGUGUAGCUUGUCUUUAAGGGUGUGUCUAACUAAAGUUUGGGGUCUUGGUUGAACUUGAGGUAGAUUGCCAGCUAGUAACACUCACCUGAUAGUAAAUGCUAGCGUAGACGCUCUACAGAUGUUUGGAACACAAAUGGUGGGUUACUUUAGAUCAAGUCUUAGUUAAUUGGCAAAUAAUUAACUUGAAUUAAAACAGGGCCACAAACUGUCACCAAAUAAACCUUUUAUUGGACCAGCUUCUGAGGGUGAAAGAGACAAGCUUUCAAGCUAUAUUGAAGAAGAGCUCUCUGUAGCUUGAAAGCUUGUCUCAUUCACCAAUAGAAGUUAGUCCAAAAGAAAAAAACAAAACAAUUACCUCCUCCACCUUAUCUUGCUAGUGUCAUAUGAUCAAUAUGGGUACAACCACACUGAAACCAAAUAAACCCUAAGUUGGCCAGAGGUGGUCACCAGGGCCUGAUGGGAAAUGGUGGUUGGUUGGUCUCAGAGCCUGCUAACCUCAGAGCGCAAUGUUAGGAUCACAACUGGCUCUCAGCCUGGUUUCUAGGUGGCCCAGUGAGCCUUCUCCAAUGGCUGUGCUUCCUGACUGAGCAGAGAGCCUGCAGCCUGCUACGUGAGCCUUAGAAUGGCAGCAGUACAGUGGUUGCUCAAUAUGUACCACACCUGCAGCUGUGUUUGCCCUGGUCCUGCCUCCAGCCCUUGUUCCAGUUUCCACCCCUGUCCGCUCCAGUCUAGUCUUUGCCUCUCUGCCCUGCUCCCGAUCCUGACUCUGGCCCCGACCAUGGGUUUGGCUUCUAGACCUUGACUUUGGCUUUGCCCUGAGCUCAGUACCUGACUCCUGGAUCUACGCUUUCCACUACUCCAUAUUGCCAUUGCAGCCACCAGACGAGCUCGUAGGCCACCCAUGCACCAAAGGUUUACACCCAGAUCCUGAUAUCCCAUGUGUGUGCUCUCUAAACCACCCAAUUGGCAUUAAAAAACAAAACUUAUUUCCUAUUUCUUAGGAAAGCUCAUCUGUGUAAAACUUUAUUUAAAAAGUCAUCCUUAAGUGUUGACUGUGAAAACAUGCAUUGCUGAUAUAUUUCUUUUCCUUAUAAACCUAAAAGGGGUUAAAUAAUUUUAAAAGUUAGCAUUAAAUGUUAUUUAACAAUCUUCUGUAGUGCAAUGUACAUCUUUAACAAUGCUGAGUUGCAGAAUGUUUGGCAGAUUGUAGAGCCAUUCAGAAGCAAUAAUUAGUGGCCAAAUUAUACAUUCCCUGGUUAAAAGGGGUUAGAAGAGAAAAUCUGACACAAAUAAUCUUUCUCUUUUAAAUUGAACUAAUACUGGUGAGAGGUGCCAGAAUGACAGCCCUGCAAAGUCCUGUCUUGAUCGCCAGAACAGGCAGCAGAAAUGCAAAGUUUCCUACACUGUACCCUCCCAAUGCAUGACCCUGGACAGUAUAAUUCAGGGCUAUAUAUGUCAGGAUGAAAUAUCCCACUGAAACUACCCUGAGUCACCUGGACGCUAUGUUGCUGGUCCACAUCUAACUGCAAUAUAAUGGUGCAGAAACUAAGGGUGAAAUCUUGGCCUCUUGGAAGUUGCAGGGAUUUUUGCCACUGACUUCAAUGUGGCCAGGAUUUCGUCCUAUUUUUAAAAAAUUCUAGAAAACUUAAACACCUUUAAAAAUAUUCACAGAGGCUUUAGAUAAUGUACACAUGCAUUAUUGGAAAACCUUUACAUCUGCUACGUAUGUAAUCCUGCAUGCCCGACAGUUGCUGCCUCUGCUUGGCAUUCAGCAUUUCCAAAUAACUGGUUUCUUUUGGGUGUAUCAUACUGUGGUGUAGCAUCUGCUGCUGCUGACAUGGCUCUGUUUGCUGGACCCAGGUGCAGGCUGCAGUGAGUUUACAAGGUGCCCAGUGGUUCCUCACUGUACUGAAGGGUUUGUGAAGUGUGCAGAAAGCAGAUCUAUAGCUGAAGAUGAAAGCAAUACCCACCGUCAGGUACUUAACUUCUAAAUUGUGAUAUGGAAUGGGUCUGAGCGUGCAGUAAAUUCAGACAUUGCCCCUGGAAUGUCAAGACAAACAUGGGGUUAAAUUGCAGCAAGGGUGGUUUAGAUUGGGCAUUAGGAAAAACUUCCUAACUGUCAGGGGUGAUUAAGCACUGGAAUAAAUUGCCUAGGGAGGUUGUGGAAUCUCCAUCAUUGGAGAUUUUAAGAGCAAGUUAGACAAACACCUGUCAGGGAUGGUUCUGCUUUGAAUGCAGUCCUAUGAUUCUGUGGCUGGAGGCAUCUAUGAAAGGGAGGUAGACUUGAGGGAAGAUGCAGACAUCUUAUUUUUUUUCAGCCCAACAUCAGUCAUUAGCUAAUUUUAUUGCUCCUUUUCAGAUGACAGUCUAAUUGCCAGAUCUCACACUGUUGAAAGCACCAGUGACUAUGGACAGCCCAUUAAAGAGAGUAUAUAACUGAUUUGUGGCAAUUUAAUGCCACCUUCUGGUUAGAAAAUAUAACAGAGCUACUCUUUUAAUGAUUUUUUGAUACCUUUUACUAACUAAACAGGAUCAGUCAAAUAUAGAGCUGCACGCAUCAGUAAUCUGCUUCCAUUAAUAGGUUUCUUUUUAACAUAUUCUCCACAACACAAACAAUUCAUCUGCUACUGUAUAUUAUCUUUAAAAAUAAAAUAAUAAAAAAAUCAGCAUUCAGUGAUUUGCUAUUGCUCAGAAAGGAAAGAGUAAAGUUUAUGGAAUUAAGCUUUGGACCCCUCUUACCAAAAGCUGUCAAAGUGAAUUGGCUCUGUCAAGCAGGUGCAGCCCAAUGGAUCAGUGCUACUUGUUCCUAAGUUCAUGAUUUUAACUGUGUAUUAAAAUUUAGUUUAAUAAAUUUUACGCUCACUUUGCAUGUUAAAAUAGCUUAAGCACCCAUAGUAAAGAGCAAGAAUACAGUUUUGUUGACCUUCCAAGAACGUGAUAAUUUCAGAAAAUAAGGACUUUAGAUAUUGUUUCUCUUCAUUAUGUGUUAAUCUACUGAAUAAACUGUUCCUCAAUAGAAACUAAGGGCAACUGCAAGUUUAGUUAGAACUGAUUUAUUUAAAAUGAUAUCUUUUAGUCUGAAUGUUUGAAAAAAAAUACAAAUCUGAUAGUUAGAUGUACAGGUUAGAAAGAAAAGAAGCAUUAGGUGUGGCUAGGAUCCUCUUGGGUUUUGCUCAUGAGUUUUCCCCCAGCAGGGGGUGCAAAUGUAUUACUCAUUUGGGGGGAAAAUCCUACUGUUUUUCUUCUGAACAUCCUGAGUUUGAUUCUCUACUGCCUUACAUGUGGUGUAGUCAUUUACGUGAGUGUAAAAUGAGUGCAUUGUGAUUAUAAAUUGCUACCACUGGUGUAAGUGAAUGGAGUACUCUGAUUUGAUAGUAUUUCAAGCUCACUUUGCACUUACUAUAGAAGGUUCAAGGCAGUGGAGAAUCUGGCUCCUUCUGUUGACUACAAGCCCAUUUUAUUGUAAUUGAAGAUAAAUGAGUUGAAGGUAAAUAAGUGUUUUGUAGUGAAGGUAUAUUUUAUUUCUUUGAUUUGGAUUGCUGAAGAGAUGCUGGGGUUUCUUUUCACUGGCAUAAACUAUUUGAUGCCACCUUUUAGAGUCCCCAUAGAAAUGUCUUUGCUGAAGUAAGUAGGAAUUUGAUUAUUGUGACACAUGGGAAAGAUAGAUUGCCUUUCUGAUUGAUAUAAUUUGGACAUUUACAUGUAUUGAAAGGCAAUGGCCCUGGACCAAAAUCUCAGAUCCAAUGCCACACCUUAUGUUUGUGGCUGGGUGAGUUCCUAAUUUCACAGUUGGCUCUACUUCUGUUAUUGAAUAAACCAAAACCCCUCUGGGUACCCCUGAAUUUUUUGGGUGUUUGAUAUUUGAAUGCAUAUUUUGCAGUUCAUGUUCCUCUCCAUUAGUGACACUGCUGGUAUGAUACAUGCUCUUGGUUUGUAGAUAUUUUCCUCACCUGAUCUAUCCUGACAUAAAGCUCUGCACUAAACCAUAGAACUAACUCAACCCCUCUAAGACUUGUGAUUGUGGUGGGAGUUGUAUGGUUGCACCAAUUAGUUAUUUCUAUAAUGUUAAGCAUUCUCACUAGAUGCUAUGGUAAUGAUAAAUUGUAGCGUAAAAUCAUUUGAAACUAAAAAAAAAUGGAGCAACACUUUUUAAAUGACAAAAAUAAAU